UGAGAAUCAUUAUGAAAACAAGAAUGUGUCCUCAGUACACGAAUGCCCCACUCGCACUAUCAUUUUCUAUGUUCAGUGGACCGUGAAAUUGGGGUAAAAUCUCUAAUUUGGCAUCAAAAUUAGAAAGAUCAUAUCAUAGGGAACAUGUGUACCAAGUUUGAAGUCGAUUGGACUUCAACUUCAUCAAAAACUACCUCGACCAAAAACUUUAACCUGAAGCGGGACAGACGGACGAACGAACGGACGAACGAACGAACGGACGGACGGACGAACGAACGAACGGACGCACAGACCAGAAAACAUAAUGCCCCUCUACUAUCGUAGGUGGGGCAUAAAAAUAACGUUUU
rnacentral:lncRNA from 1 species